GUUUAUCUGUGUGUGUGGAUAGUGUUAAGUACCAAGGACAGGCAUGUUUACCUGCAUGUGUGGGUAGUUUUCAGCACCAAGGAUAGGCAUAAUAUUUA
rnacentral:pre_miRNA from 1 species